AGGGAUUGCCUCAGUAACGGCGAGUGAAGCGGCAACAGCUCAAAUUUGAAAUCUGGCUCCUUCGGGGUCCGAGUUGUAAUUUGCAGAGGAUGCGUCGGGUACGGGUCCCUACCGAGUUCCCUGGAACGGGACGCCAUAGAGGGUGAGAGCCCCGUCUGGUAGGAUACCCAGCCCAUGUGACGCUCCCUCGACGAGUCGAGUAGUUUGGGAAUGCUGCUCUAACGGGAGGUAUACUCCUUCCAAAGCUAAAUACCGGCUGGAGACCGAUAGCGCACAAGUAGAGUGAUCGAAAGAUGAAAAGCACUUUGAAAAGAGAGUCAAACAGCACGUGAAAUUGUUAAAAGGGAAGCACUCGCUACCAGACUUGGGUUUGGCGGUUCAACCGGGGCCACGCCCCGGGGCAUUCCGCCAGCUCAGGCCAGCAUCAGCUUUCCGUCGGGGGCAAAGACGUCGGGAAUGUGGCUCCCCCUCGGGGGAGUGUUAUAGCCCGGCGUGUCAUACCCUUCGGGGGGCUGAGGUACGCGCUUCUGCAAGGAUGCUGGCGUAAUGGUAGCUAGUGACCCGUCUUGAAACACGGACCAAGGAGUCAACCUUAUGUGCGAGUGCCCGGGCGUAAAACCCCAGCGCGGAAUGAAAGUGAACGUAGGUGAGAGCUUCGGCGCAUCACCGACCGAUCCUGAUGUCCUCGGACGGAUUUGAGUGAGAGCAUAUAGGGUUGGACCCGAAAGAAGAUGAACUAUGCGUGUGUAGGGUGAAGCCAGAGGAAACUCUGGUGGAGGCUCGCAGCGGUUCUGACGUGCAAAUCGAUCGUCAAACAUGCGCAUGGGGGCGAAAG
rnacentral:rRNA from 1 species